rnacentral:rRNA from 1 species
CGUAGGGGGCAAGCGUUGUCCGGAAUCAUUGGGCGUAAAGAGCGCGUAGGCGGUCCGGUAAGUCCGCUGUGAAAGUCCGGGGCUCAACCCUGGGAUGCCGGUGGAUACUGUCGGGCUAGAGUCCGGAAGAGGCGAGUGGAAUUCCUGGUGUAGCGGUGAAAUGCGCAGAUAUCAGGAGGAACACCGAUGGCGAAGGCAGCUCGCUGGGACGGUAUUGACGCUGAGGCGCGAAAGCGUGGGGAGCAAACAGGAUUAGAUACCCUGGUAGUCCACGCCGUAAACGAUGGACACUAGGUGUGGGAGGUGUCGACUCCUCCCGUGCCGUAGCUAACGCAUUAAGUGUCCCGCCUGGGGAGUACGGCCGCAAGGCUA